GAAUUUUCCACAAUGGGCGCAAGCCUGAUGGAGCAACGCCGCGUGGGGGAUGACGCUCUUCGGAGUGUAAACCCCUUUUCGGGAGGACGAAGCAAAUGACGGUACUCCCGGAAGAAGGACCGGCUAACUACGUGCCAGCAGCCGCGGUAAGACGUAGGGUCCGAGCGUUGUCCGGAGUUACUGGGCGUAAAGCGCGCGCAGGCGGUUGGUUGCGUCGGGUGUGAAAGCCCCCCGCUCAACGGGGGAGGGUCAUUCGAAACGGGCCAACUGGAGGCAGGGAGAGGUCGGUGGAAUUCCCGGUGUAGUGGUGAAAUGCGUAGAUAUCGGGAGGAACACCAGUGGCGAAGGCGGCCGGCUGGACCUGACCUGACGCUGAGGCGCGAAGGCGUGGGGAGCGAACGG
rnacentral:rRNA from 1 species